AACGAACGCUGGCGGCGUGCCUAACACAUGCAAGUCGAACGGAAUUAGAGAGCUUGCUCUUUAAUUUAGUGGCGCACGGGUGAGUAACGCGUAGAUAAUCUGCCUGACGAUCUGGGAUAACACUUCGAAAGAGGUGCUAAUACCGGAUAAGCCCACGGGUUCUUUGGAAUCUGCGGGAAAAGGGGGGGACCUUCGGGCCUUCUGUCGUCAGAUGAGUCUGCGUACCAUUAGCUAGUUGGUAGGGUAAAGGCCUACCAAGGCGACGAUGGUUAGCUGGCCUGAGAGGAUGAUCAGCCACACUGGACCUGAGACACGGUCCAGACUCCUACGGGAGGCAGCAGUGGGGAAUUUUGCGCAAUGGGCGAAAGCCUGACGCAGCAACGCCGCGUGAGUGAUGAAGGCUUUCGGGUCGUAAAGCUCUGUCAAUGGGAAAGAAGUGUAUUUGGGCUAAUAUCCUUAAUACUUGACGGUACCCAUAAAGGAAGCACCGGCUAACUCCGUGCCAGCCGCCGCAGUAAUAC
rnacentral:rRNA from 1 species